ACUCCUACGCGGAGGCAGCAGUGGGGAAUUUUCCGCAAUGGGCGCAAGCCUGACGGAGCAAGACCGCGUGAGGGAGGAAGGCUCUUGGGUUGUAAACCUCUUUUAUCAGGGAAGAAGAUCUGACGGUACCUGAUGAAUCAGCAUCGGCUAACUCCGUGCCAGCAGCCGCGGUAAUACGGAGGAUGCAAGCGUUAUCCGGAUUUAUUGGGCGUAAAGCGUCCGCAGGUGGUUUUUCAAGUCUGCUGUUAAAGCGCAGAGCUUAACUCUGUAACGGCGGUGGAAACUGAGAGACUAGAGUAUGGUAGGGGUUGCGGGAAUUCCCAGUGUAGCGGUGAAAUGCGUAGAUAUUGGGAAGAACACCAGCGGCGAAAGCGCGCAACUGGGCCAUUACUGACACUCAUGGACGAAAGCUAGGGGAGCGAAAGGGAUUAGAUACCCCUGUAGUCCUAGCUGUAAACGAUGGGUACUAGGUGUUGACCGUAUCGACCCGGUCAGUGCCGUAGCUAACGCGUUAAGUACCCCGCCUGGGGAGUAUGCACGCAAGUGUGAAACUCAAAGGAAUUGACGGGGGCCCGCACAAGCGGUGGAGUAUGUGGUUUAAUUCGAUGCAACGCGAAGAACCUUACCAGGGCUUGACAUGUCGCGAAUCUCGGUGAAAGUCGAGAGUGCCUUC
rnacentral:rRNA from 1 species